UACAGAGGGGGCAAGCGUUAAUCGGAAUUACUGGGCGUAAAGCGUACGCAGGCGGUUUUUGUAAGUCUGACGUGAAAUCCCCGGGCUUAACCUGGGAAUUGCGUUGGAGACUGCAAGGCUGGAGUCUGGCAGAGGGGGGGUAGAAUUCCACGUGUGAGCAGUGAAAUGCGUAGAGAUGUGGAGGAACACCGAUGGCGAAGGCAGCCCCCUGGGUCAAGAUU
rnacentral:rRNA from 1 species